AAAGAUGCGCUAAUACCGCAUAAUCUCUAAGGAGAAAAGCAGGGGAUCGCAAGACCUUGCGCUUUUGGAGCGGCCGAUGUCUGAUUAGCUAGUUGGUGAGGUAAAGGCUUACCAAGGCUUCGAUCAGUAGCUGGUCUGAGAGGACGACCAGCCACACUGGGACUGAGACACGGCCCAGACUCCUACGGGAGGCAGCAGUGGGGAAUUUUGGACAAUGGGGGCAACCCUGAUCCAGCCAUGCCGCGUGAGUGAAGAAGGCCUUCGGGUUGUAAAGCUCUUUCAGCCGGAACGAAAAGGUUACGGUUAAUACCCGUGACUAAUGACGGUACCGGAAGAAGAAGCACCGGCUAACUACGUGCCAGCAGCCGCGGUAAUACGUAGGGUGCGAGCGUUAAUCGGAAUUACUGGGCGUAAAGCGUGCGCAGGCGGUUUUGUAAGUCAGAUGUGAAAUCCCCGGGCUUAACCUGGGAACUGCGUUUGAAACUACAAGGCUAGAGUGUGGCAGAGGGGGGUGGAAUUCCACGUGUAGCAGUGAAAUGCGUAGAGAUGUGGAGGACCACCGAUGGCGAAGGCAGCCCCCUGGGUUAACACUGACGCUCAGGCACGAAAGCGUGGGGAGCAAACAGGAUUAGAUACCCUGGUAGUCCACGCCCUAAACGAUGUCAACUAGUUGUCGGGUCUUAACGGGCUUGGUAACGCAGCUAACGCGUGAAGUUGACCGCCUGGGGAGUACGGUCGCAAGAUUAAAACUCAAAGGAAUUGACGGGGACCCGCACAAGCGGUGGAUUAUGUGGAUUAAUUCGAUGCAACGCGAAAAACCUUACCUACCCUUGACAUGUACCGAAGCCCGCCGAGAGGUGGGCGUGCC
rnacentral:rRNA from 1 species